rnacentral:rRNA from 1 species
AUUGAACGCUGGCGGCAGGCCUAACACAUGCAAGUCGAGCGGAUGAAGGGAGCUUGCUCCUGGAUUCAGCGGCGGACGGGUGAGUAAUGCCUAGGAAUCUGCCUGGUAGUGGGGGAUAACGUCCGGAAACGGGCGCUAAUACCGCAUACGUCCUGAGGGAGAAAGCGGGGGAUCUUCGGACCUCACGCUAUCAGAUGAGCCUAGGUCGGAUUAGCUAGUUGGUGGGGUAAAGGCUUACCAAGGCGACGAUCCGUAACUGGUCUGAGAGGAUGAUCGGUCACACUGGAACUGAGACACGGUCCAGACUCCUACGGGAGGCAGCAGUGGGGAAUAUUGGACAAUGGGCGAAAGCCUGAUCCAGCCAUGCCGCGUGUGUGAAGAAGGUCUUCGGAUUGUAAAGCACUUUAAGUUGGGAGGAAGGGCAGUAAGUUAAUACCUUGCUGUUUUGACGUUACCAACAGAAUAAGCACCGGCUAACUUCGUG